rnacentral:rRNA from 1 species
GAUGAACGCUGACAGAAUGCUUAACACAUGCAAGUCAACUUGAAUUUGGGUUUUUAACUUAGGUUUGGGUGGUGGACGGGUGAGUAACGCGUAAAGAACUUGCCUCACAGUUAGGGACAACAUUUGGAAACGAAUGCUAAUACCUAAUAUUAUGAUAAUAGGGCAUCCUAUAAUUAUGAAAGCUAUAAGCGCUGUGAGAGAGCUUUGCGUCCCAUUAGCUAGUUGGAGAGGUAACGGCCCACCAAGGCGAUGAUGGGUAGCCGGCCUGAGAGGGUGAUCGGCCACAAGGGGACUGAGACACGGCCCUUACUCCUACGGGAGGCAGCAGUGGGGAAUAUUGGACAAUGGACCAAGAGUCUGAUCCAGCAAUUCUGUGUGCACGAUGAAGUUUUUCGGAAUGUAAAGUGCUUUCAGUUGGGAAGAAAGAAAUGACGGUACCAACAGAAGAAGUGACGGCUAAAUACGUGCCAGCAGCCGCGGUAAUACGUAUGUCACGAGCGUUAUCCGGAUUUAUUGGGCGUAAGGCGCGUCUAGGUGGUUAUGUAAGUCUGAUGUGAAAAUGCAGGGCUCAACUCUGUAUUGCGUUGGAAACUGUAUAACUAGAGUACUGGAGAGGUAAGCGGAACUACAAGUGUAGAGGUGAAAUUCGUAGAUAUUUGUAGGAAUGCCGAUGGGGAAGCCAGCUUACUGGACAGAUACUGACGCUGAAGCGCGAAAGCGUGGGUAGCAAACAGG